rnacentral:rRNA from 1 species
GCAUAUCAAUAAGCGGAGGAAAAGAAACCAACAGGGAUUGCCCCAGUAACGGCGAGUGAAGCGGCAACAGCUCAAAUUUGAAAUCUGGCCCCCCCCCCCGGGGGGCCCGAGUUGUAAUUUGCAGAGGAUGCUUUGGGCGAGGCGCCUUCCGAGUUCCCUGGAACGGGACGCCACAGAGGGUGAGAGCCCCGUCUGGUCGGACGCCGAGCCUCUGUAAAGCUCCUUCGACGAGUCGAGUAGUUUGGGAAUGCUGCUCAAAAUGGGAGGUAUAUGUCUUCUAAAGCUAAAUACCGGCCAGAGACCGAUAGCGCACAAGUAGAGUGAUCGAAAGAUGAAAAGCACCUUGAAAAGGGGGUUAAACAGUACGUGAAAUUGUUGAAAGGGAAGCGCUCGUGACCAGCUUGGGGCGGGCGGAUCAGCCGGCGUUCUCGCCGGCGCACUCCGCCCGUCCCAGGCCAGCAUCAGUUCGCGCCGGGGGACAAAGGCGGCGGGAACGUGGCUCCCCAGGGAGUGUUAUAGCCCGCCGCGCCAUGCCCCGGGGGCGGACUGAGGCCCGCGCAUCACUGCAAGGAUGCUGGCGUAAUGGUCACCAGCGACCCGUCUUGAAACACGGACC